rnacentral:rRNA from 1 species
GAUGAACGCUGGCGGCGUGCCUAAUACAUGCAAGUCGAGCGAACAGAUGAGGAGCUUGCUCCUCUGACGUUAGCGGCGGACGGGUGAGUAACACGUGGAUAACCUACCUAUAAGACUGGGAUAACUUCGGGAAACCGGAGCUAAUACCGGAUAAUAUAUUGAACCGCAUGGUUCAAUAGUGAAAGACGGUUUUGCUGUCACUUAUAGAUGGAUCCGCGCCGCAUUAGCUAGUUGGUAAGGUAACGGCUUACCAAGGCAACGAUGCGUAGCCGACCUGAGAGGGUGAUCGGCCACACUGGAACUGAGACACGGUCCAGACUCCUACGGGAGGCAGCAGUAGGGAAUCUUCCGCAAUGGGCGAAAGCCUGACGGAGCAACGCCGCGUGAGUGAUGAAGGUCUCCGGAUCGUAAAACUCUGUUAUUAGGGAAGAACAAAUGUGUAAGUAACUAUGCACGUCUUGACGGUACCUAAUCAGAAAGCCACGGCUAACUACGU